AUGUUAAGUGUAGGCAAUUGCCCACUGCUUAUAUUUAUUUCCAACGCUGAGUUGGAGCAUAGCGAUCAGGGAGAGAAUAUGGUGAGAACAGACCACUUGGCAUCACAACUUGGUUUAAUCUGGGAGGUGGAUGCAGGAUCACAUAUUGAAAAUGCACUUUCAUUGGAACAUUUUUUUCUAAAGAAGUUGAUGAUAUUGAUGCAUGAUGAUGUGUCACAUGUUCAAAACCUUGAAAGGGCUCUAAAAAUAGUGAAAUAUGAAGUAUGGAAAAAAGUGCAUAUCAUCAAGGCAUGGAGACACUGUCACGAGCAGAUGAUGAGACUCGUUCUUCGAAGGAGCAUUGGGCUUCCACUGGUUCUACCCUCAGGACUUCAUAGACUUUAUCUUUCUUUAUGUAGUAUUACAGAUAGAGCUCUAGCUGUUUGCCUUGAUGGCCUGGCUUCAUUGAAAAGUCUGAUCCUAAAAGAGAUUAUGAGUUUAACUACACUUCCUUCAGAAGAGGUCCUCCUGCAUUUGACGAAACUUGAGGUGUUGUCCAUCCAACAUAUCUGGUGUCUCAGGUCAUUAGGGGGCUUACGAGCUGCUACCUCUCUUUCAAAUGUUAGUCUGGCUUCAUGCCCUUCUUUAGAGUUGGCAUGCGGAGCAGAAUAUUUGCCAUUAUCCCUUAAGAGUCUCAGGAUAGAAAAAUGUGUGCUUGGAGCUGAAUUCCUCUGUGCGGACUGGCCGCAGAUGGGAAAUAUUGUAAUAAGCAGCUGCAGAAGCACCUCCUGCUUAUCUGUUGGUAGCCUAACAUCUGUUAAAUCAUUGCAUAACUUGCCAGAUUUAUGUACACUCGAAGGAUUCUCUUCCCUGCAACUUCACCAUGUACAUUUGAUUGAUGUACUCCUGAGUGUAUCUCACAGUUUCGAGUCCAGUACUCACUCUAUGUUAGCAAUCCUGUAA
rnacentral:rRNA from 1 species